rnacentral:miRNA from 1 species
GACGUCGAUAUUCGACGUCAUAAACAACACCAAGUUUGGUGUUUAUUACGUCGAUAUACGACGUCAAAAACAGCAUCAAGUUUGGUGUUUAUGGCGUCGAUAUUCGACCUCAUAAACACCAUCAAGGUACGUGUUUAUGGCGUCGAUAUACGACGUUAUAAACACCAUCAAGUUUGGUAUUUAUAACGUCGAUAUUCGACGUCAUAAGCACCAUCAAAUUUGGUGUUGAUGACGUCGAUAUACGAAGUC